GUUGGUGUGCGUACUGCGGCCACAGUCCAGUACAACAUGUUCGAAUUGGGUCUACAGAGAAUGUGUUCUUCAUGCCGCCAUAUGUGCCGCCCAGUCAAUCGCAGGAGGCGAUUGAAACUCACAAUACCGGUGUUGCUCAAGAAUACGAACGUACUGCUACUGGAGGUGCCAGCACCAGCAGCUUGGU